CCUAACACAUGCAAGUCGAACGGUAACAGGAAGAAGCUUGCUUCUUUGCUGACGAGUGGCGGACGGGUGAGUAAUGUCUGGGAAACUGCCUGAUGGAGGGGGAUAACUACUGGAAACGGUAGCUAAUACCGCAUAACGUCGCAAGACCAAAGAGGGGGACCUUCGGGCCUCUUGCCAUCGGAUGUGCCCAGAUGGGAUUAGCUAGUAGGUGGGGUAACGGCUCACCUAGGCGACGAUCCCUAGCUGGUCUGAGAGGAUGACCAGCCACACUGGAACUGAGACACGGUCCAGACUCCUACGGGAGGCAGCAGUGGGGAAUAUUGCACAAUGGGCGCAAGCCUGAUGCAGCCAUGCCGCGUGUAUGAAGAAGGCCUUCGGGUUGUAAAGUACUUUCAGCGGGGAGGAAGGGAGUAAAGUUAAUACCUUUGCUCAUUGACGUUACCCGCAGAAGAAGCACCGGCUAACUCCGUGCCAGCAGCCGCGGUAAUACGGAGGGUGCAAGCGUUAAUCGGAAUUACUGGGCGUAAAGCGCACGCAGGCGGUUUGUUAAGUCAGAUGUGAAAUCCCCGGGCUCAACCUGGGAACUGCAUCUGAUACUGGCAAGCUUGAGUCUCGUAGAGGGGGGUAGAAUUCCAGGUGUAGCGGUGAAAUGCGUAGAGAUCUGGAGGAAUACCGGUG
rnacentral:rRNA from 1 species